rnacentral:rRNA from 1 species
AUACGGAGGGGACUAGCGUUGUUCGGAUUUACUGGGCGUAAAGCGCGCGUAGGCGGUAUAUCAAGUUAGGCGUGAAAGCCCCGGGCUCAACCCGGGAACUGCGCUUAUUACUGAUAAACUAGAGUCCGGGAGAGGGUGGCGGAAUUCCCAGUGUAGAGGUGAAAUUCGUAGAUAUUGGGAAGAACACCAGUUGCGAAGGCGGCCACCUGGACCGGUACUGACGCUGAGGUGCGAAAGCGUGGGGAGCAAACAGGAUUAGAUACCCCAGUAGUCC